UUGACCUCAAAUCAGGUAGGGUUACCCGCUGAAC
rnacentral:rRNA from 1 species